GGAGAGGUGCCAGAGCGGACGAAUGGGGCGGCCUCGAAAGCCGUUGUGGGCUUCGGUUCACCGUGGGUUCGAAUCCCACCCUCUCCGCCA
rnacentral:tRNA from 2 species